rnacentral:rRNA from 1 species
AGCUUAACACAUGCAAGUCGAACGGAUUUUUAUCAUAGCUUGCUAUGAUAAAAAUUAGUGGCAGACGGGUGAGUAAUGCAUAGGAAUCUACCUAGUAGUAUGGGAUAGCCACUAGAAAUGGUGGGUAAUACUGUAUAAUCCCUGCGGGGGAAAGAUUUAUCGCUAUUAGAUGAGCCUAUGUUAGAUUAGCUAGUUGGUAGGGUAAAGGCCUACCAAGGCAGUGAUCUAUAGCUGGUCUGAGAGGAUGAUCAGCCACACUGGAACUGAGAUACGGUCCAGACUCCUACGGGAGGCAGCAGUGGGGAAUAUUGGACAAUGGGCGCAAGCCUGAUCCAGCUAUGCCGCGUGAGUGAGGAAGGCCUUAGGGUUGUAAAACUCUU